GAGUUGAAGAUGGUGAUGGAAAAAAGGAGGGGAGGACCAAUGGUUGGGAAAGAUGAAAUUGAGAUGCAACUUUAUAGAGAAAGGAGAUGUCCACAAAUAGUUUGACUUUGUCAGGAAAGAAUUGUAUAUAAGGGUAAUCAUGGCACAAAGCCGCUAAAUCACGUGCUCGAUGAGCUGAUGUGAUUGCUACAAGGAAGACUGUUUUGAAGGCCUUUCUGGUUGAAGGCGUCUUUGCUUGAUGGAGGACAUCCAUCAAGGAGGCAGAAUCUUCCAUGCUGCCAGGUGCAGAGCAGAAGUUCUAGAAUAUUCCAAUGAGGUUCCACACAGGCGCAGAUCACACAAGGUGUGAUUCACAGAGACCACAAAGAAGUACUACAAUAUACAUAUCAGUUAUUCAAUAAACCUCCGAUUA